AGAUUAUGGUGAGGAAAGCACUUCUACAGUUCUUUAAACCUAUCACAUGCUUCAUAGAGUUUCUCCCCUUCAUAUUGCUAAAAAGUAACGAUUUCCUUUAUCACUUU